rnacentral:rRNA from 1 species
GACGAACGCUGGCGGCGUGCUUAACACAUACAAGUCGAACGGAAAGGCCCUGCUUUUGUGGGGUGCUCGAGUGGCGAACGGGUGAGUAACACGUGAGUAACCUGCCCUUGACUUUGGGAUAACUUCAGGAAACUGGGGCUAAUACCGGAUAGGAGCUCCUGCUGCACGGUGGGGGUUGGAAAGUUUCGGCGGUUGGGGAUGGACUCGCGGCUUAUCAGCUUGUUGGUGGGGUAGUGGCUUACCAAGGCUUUGACGGGUAGCCGGCCUGAGAGGGUGACCGGCCACAUUGGGACUGAGAUACGGCCCAGACUCCUACGGGAGGCAGCAGUGGGGAACAUUGCACAAUGGGCGGAAGCCUGAUGCAGCAACGCCGCGUGCGGGAUGACGGCCUUCGGGUUGUAAACCGCUUUCGCCUGUGACGAAGCGUGAGUGACGGUAAUGGGUAAAGAAGCACCGGCUAACUACGUG